GAUGAACGCUGGCGGCGUGCCUAAUACAUGCAAGUCGAGCGAAUGGAUUAAGAGCUUGCUCUUAUGAAGUUAGCAGCGGACGGGUGAGUAACACGUGGGUAACCUGCCCAUAAGACUGGGAUAACUCCGGGAAACCGGGGCUAAUACCGGAUAACAUUUUGAACCGCAUGGUUCGAAAUUGAAAGGCGGCUUCGGCUGUCACCUAUGGAUGGACCCGCGUCGCAUUAGCUAGUUGGUGAGGUAACGGCUCACCAAGGCAACGAUGCGUAGCCGACCUGAGAGGGUGAUCGGCCACACUGGGACUGAGACACGGCCCAGACUUCUACGGGAGGCAGCAGUAGGGAAUCUUCCGCAAUGGACGAAAGUCUGACGGAGCAACGCCGCGUGAGUGAUGAAGGCUUUCGGGUCGUAAAACUCUGUUGUUAGGGAAGAACAAGUGCUAGUUGAAUAAGCUGGCACCUUGACGGUACCUAACCAGAAAGCCACGGCUAACUACGUGCCAGCAGCCGCGGUAA
rnacentral:rRNA from 1 species